GUGCCAGCAGCCGCGGUAAUACGUAGGGUGCAAGCGUUAAUCGGAAUUACUGGGCGUAAAGCGUGCGCAGGCGGUGAUGUAAGACAGUUGUGAAAUCCCCGGGCUCAACCUGGGAACUGCAUCUGUGACUGCAUCGCUGGAGUACGGCAGAGGGGGAUGGAAUUCCGCGUGUAGCAGUGAAAUGCGUAGAUAUGCGGAGGAACACCGAUGGCGAAGGCAAUCCCCUGGGCCUGUACUGACGCUCAUGCACGAAAGCGUGGGGAGCAAACAGGAUUAGAUA
rnacentral:rRNA from 1 species